AGAGUUUGAUCCUGGCUCAGAAUAAACGCUGGCGGCGUGCCUAACACAUGCAAGUCGAACGAGAAAGCCUGAUUUCGGUCGGGCGAGUAAAGUGGCGUACGGGUGAGUAACGCGUAGGUAACCUGCCCCUGUGUUCGGGAUAACAGUGCGAAAGCGCUGCUAAUACCGGAUGUGGCCAAGAGACGGUGGUUUUUUGGUCAAAGUCGGCCUCUCGAUGAAGCCGAUGCGCGGGGAUGGACCUGCGUCCUAUCAGCUAGUUGGUAGGGUAACGGCCUACCAAGGCUUCGACGGGUAGCUGGUCUGAGAGGAUGAUCAGCCACACUGGCACUGAAACACGGGCCAGACUCCUACGGGAGGCAGCAGUGAGGAAUUUUGCGCAAUGGCCGCAAGGCUGACGCAGCAACGCCGCGUGGGUGAAGAAGGCCUUCGGGUCGUAAAGCCCUGUCAGGUGGGAAGAAUGUUUCGGGGAGUAAUAUGCCUCGAAAGUGACGGUACCACCAGAGGAAGCACCGGCUAACUCCGUGCCAACAGCCGCGGUAAUACGGAGGGUGCAAGCGUUAUUCGGAAUUACUGGGCGUAAAGCGCGUGCAGGCGGGUAGSCAAGUNUGAUGUGAAAGCCCCGGGCUUUAACCUGGGAAGUGCAUUGGAAACUGCCUAUCUUGAGUGCUGGAGAGGAAGGGGGAAUUCCCGGUGUAGAGGUGAAAUUCGUAGAGAUCGGGAGGAAUACCAGUGGCGAAGGCGCCCUUCUGGACGGCAACUGACGCUGAGACGCGAAAGCGUGGGGAGCAAACAGGAUUAGAUACCCUGGUAGUCCACGCUGUAAACGAUGAGCACUAGGUGUAGCGGGUACUCAUUCCUGCUGUGCCGCAGCUAACGCGUUAAGUGCUCCGCCUGGGGAUUACGGUCGCAAGACUAAAACUCAAAGGAAUUGACGG
rnacentral:rRNA from 1 species